rnacentral:tRNA from 1 species
GGAGAGGUGGCUGAGUGGCUCAAAGCGUCCUCCUGCUAAGAGGAAACGGGUUUUAAAGCCCGUCGCAGGUACUCUUCGAGAAGCCGCUCCGCGUCUACAAAUCCUGUCCUCUCCG